rnacentral:rRNA from 1 species
AGCGAACGCUGGCGGCAGGCCUAACACAUGCAAGUCGAACGCACCUUCGGGUGAGUGGCGGACGGGUGAGUAACACGUGGGAACGUGCCCUUUGGUACGGAACAACUGAGGGAAACUUCAGCUAAUACCGUAUGUGCCCCCAUUCUUAGCGGGAUGGGCGGGAAAGAUUUAUCGCCAUUGGAGCGGCCCGCGUUGGAUUAGGUAGUUGGUGGGGUAAAGGCCUACCAAGGCGACGAUCCAUAGCUGGUCUGAGAGGAUGAUCAGCCACACUGGGACUGAGACACGGCCCAGACUCCUACGGGAGGCAGCAGUGGGGAAUCUUGCGCAAUGGGCGAAAGCCUGACGCAGCCAUGCCGCGUGAAUGAUGAAGGUCUUAGGAUUGUAAAAUUCUUUCACCGGGGAAGAUAAUGACGGUACCCGGAGAAGAAGCCCCGGCUAACUUCGUGCCAGCCGCCGCGGUAA